rnacentral:rRNA from 1 species
AUUGAACGCUGGCGGCAUGCCUUACACAUGCAAGUCGAACGGUAACAGGGAGCUUGCUCCGCUGACGAGUGGCGAACGGGUGAGUAAUGUAUCGGAACGUACCUUUUAGUGGGGGAUAACGUAGCGAAAGUUACGCUAAUACCGCAUAUUCUCUGAGGAGGAAAGCAGGGGACCUUCGGGCCUUGCGCUAAUAGAGCGGCGGAUAUCAGAUUAGCUAGUUGGUGAGGUAAAGGCUCACCAAGGCGACGAUCUGUAGCGGGUCUGAGAGGAUGAUCCGCCACACUGGAACUGAGACACGGUCCAGACUCCUACGGGAGGCAGCAGUGGGGAAUUUUGGACAAUGGGGGCAACCCUGAUCCAGCCAUGCCGCGUGAGUGAAGAAGGCCUUCGGGUUGUAAAGCUCUUUCGGCCGGGAAAAAAUCGCAUGGGUUAAUACCCUGUGUGGAUGAUGGUACCGGAAUAAGAAGCACCGGCUAACUACGUGCCAGCCGCCGCCGUAA